AGUGAACGCUGGCGGUAGGCCUAACACAUGCAAGUCGAACGGGAGCAUAGUAAGAGCUUGCUCGUACGGGUGGCGCGUGGCGGAUGGGUGAGGAAUAUAUCGGGAUCUAGUUUUUCGUGGGGGAUAAAGUAGGGAAACUUACGCUAAUACCGCAUACGACAUACGGGUGAAAGCAGGGGAUCUUCGGAGCUUGCUCGAUACAAUGAGCCGAUGUCGGAUUAGCUUGUUGGGUGGGUAAAGGCGCACCAAGGCGACGAUUCGAAGUGGGUGUGAGAGGAUGCUCAGCCACCCUAGAACUGAGACACGGUCCAGACCCCUACGGGAGGCAGCAGUCAGGAAUAUUCAACCAUGAGCGCAAGCCUCAUCCAGCCAUACCCCCUCGGUGAAGAAGGCCUUCGGGUUACAAAGCCCUUUUAUUGGGAAAGAAAACCAGCAGAUUAAUACCCCGCUGUUCUGACGGUACCCAACGAAUAAGCACCCGCUAACUUCGUG
rnacentral:rRNA from 1 species